AGGAACCUGCCUUGGAGAGGGGAAUAACACUCCGAAAGGAGUGCUAAUACCGCAUGAUGCAGUUGGGUCGCAUGGCUCUGACUGCCAAAGAUUUAUCGCUCUGAGAUGGCCUCGCGUCUGAUUAGCUAGUAGGCGGGGUAACGGCCCACCAAGGCGACGAUCAGUAGCCGGACUGAGAGGUUGAACGGCCACAUUGGGACUGAGACACGGCCCAG
rnacentral:rRNA from 1 species